rnacentral:rRNA from 1 species
GGGUUGUGAGGUUAAGCGACUAAGCGUACACGGUGGAUGCCCUGGCAGUCAGAGGCGAUGAAGGACGUGCUAAUCUGCGAAAAGCGCCGGCGAGGUGAUAUGAACCUUUGACCCGGCGAUGUCCGAAUGGGGAAACCCAGUGCAAUCCGUUGCACUAUCGUUAACUGAAUACAUAGGUUAACGAGGCGAACCGGGGGAACUGAAACAUCUAAGUACCCCGAGGAAAAGAAAUCAACCGAGAUUCCCCCAGUAGCGGCGAGCGAACGGGGAGCAGCCCGGAGUCUGAAUCAGCUUGUGUGUUAGUGGAACGGUCUGGAAAGUCCGACGGUACAGGGUGAUAGUCCCGUACACGAAAGCACACAUGCUGUGAACUCGAAGAGUAGGGCGGGACACGUGGUAUCCUGUCUGAAUAUGGGGGGACCAUCCUCCAAGGCUAAAUACUCCUGACUGACCGAUAGUGAACCAGUACCGUGAGGGAAAGGCGAAAAGAACCCCGGCGAGGGGAGUGAAAAAGAACCUGAAACCGUGUACGUACAAGCAGUGGGAGCCUCUUUAUGGGGUGACUGCGUACCUUUUGUAUAAUGGGUCAGCGACUUAUAUUCUGUAGCAAGGUUAACCGUAUAGGGGAGCCGAAGGGAAACCGAGUCUUAACUGGGCGUUAAGUUGCAGGGUAUAGACCCGAAACCCGGUGAUCUAGCCAUGGGCAGGUUGAAGGUUGGGUAACACUAACUGGAGGACCGAACCGACUAAUGUUGAAAAAUUAGCGGAUGACCUGUGGCUGGGGGUGAAAGGCCAAUCAAACCGGGAGAUAGCUGGUUCUCCCCGAAAGCUAUUUAGGUAGCGCCUCGUGAACUCAUCUUCGGGGGUAGAGCACUGUUUCGGCUAGGGGGCCAUCCCGGCUUACCAACCCGAUGCAAACUACGAAUACCGAAGAAUGUUAUCACGGGAGACACACGGCGGGUGCUAACGUCCGUCGUGAAGAGGGAAACAACCCAGACCGCCAGCUAAGGUCCCAAAGUCAUGGUUAAGUGGGAAACGAUGUGGGAAGGCACAGACAGCCAGGAUGUUGGCUUAGAAGCAGCCAUCAUUUAAAGAAAGCGUAAUAGCUCACUGGUCGAGUCGGCCUGCGCGGAAGAUGUAACGGGGCUAAACCAUGCACCGAAGCUGCGGCAGCGACACUAUGUGUUGUUGGGUAGGGGAGCGUUCUGUAAGCCGUUGAAGGUGUGCUGUGAGGCAUGCUGGAGGUAUCAGAAGUGCGAAUGCUGACAUAAGUAACGAUAAAGCGGGUGAAAAGCCCGCUCGCCGGAAGACCAAGGGUUCCUGUCCAACGUUAAUCGGGGCAGGGUGAGUCGACCCCUAAGGCGAGGCCGAAAGGCGUAGUCGAUGGGAAACAGGUUAAUAUUCCUGUACUUGGUGUUACUGCGAAGGGGGGACGGAGAAGGCUAUGUCAGCCGGGCGACGGUUGUCCCGGUUUAAGCAUGUAGGCGGAGGUUCCAGGUAAAUCCGGUACCUUGUUAACGCUGAGGUGUGAUGACGAGGCACUACGGUGCUGAAGUGAUAAAUGCCCUGCUUCCAGGAAAAGCCUCUAAGCAUCAGGUAACACGAAAUCGUACCCCAAACCGACACAGGUGGUCAGGUAGAGAAUACCAAGGCGCUUGAGAGAACUCGGGUGAAGGAACUAGGCAAAAUGGUGCCGUAACUUCGGGAGAAGGCACGCUGAUGUGUAGGUGAAGCCCCUGCGGGCGGAGCUGAAAUCAGUCGAAGAUACCAGCUGGCUGCAACUGUUUAUUAAAAACACAGCACUGUGCAAACACGAAAGUGGACGUAUACGGUGUGACGCCUGCCCGGUGCCGGAAGGUUAAUUGAUGGGGUUAGCGGCAACGCGAAGCUCUUGAUCGAAGCCCCGGUAAACGGCGGCCGUAACUAUAACGGUCCUAAGGUAGCGAAAUUCCUUGUCGGGUAAGUUCCGACCUGCACGAAUGGCGUAAUGAUGGCCAGGCUGUCUCCACCCGAGACUCAGUGAAAUUGAACUCGCUGUGAAGAUGCAGUGUACCCGCGGCAAGACGGAAAGACCCCGUGAACCUUUACUAUAGCUUGACACUGAACACUGGUCCUUGAUGUGUAGGAUAGGUGGGAGGCUUUGAAGCGUGGACGCCAGUCUGCGUGGAGCCAACCUUGAAAUACCACCCUUUAAUGGCUGGUGUUCUAACGUAGACCCGUAAUCCGGGUUGCGGACAGUGUCUGGUGGGUAGUUUGACUGGGGCGGUCUCCUCCCAAAGAGUAACGGAGGAGCACGAAGGUUGGCUAAUCCUGGUCGGACAUCAGGAGGUUAGUGCAAUGGCAUAAGCCAGCUUGACUGCGAGCGUGACGGCGCGAGCAGGUGCGAAAGCAGGUCAUAGUGAUCCGGUGGUUCUGAAUGGAAGGGCCAUCGCUCAACGGAUAAAAGGUACUCCGGGGAUAACAGGCUGAUACCGCCCAAGAGUUCAUAUCGACGGCGGUGUUUGGCACCUCGAUGUCGGCUCAUCACAUCCUGGGGCUGAAGUAGGUCCCAAGGGUAUGGCUGUUCGCCAUUUAAAGUGGUACGCGAGCUGGGUUUAGAACGUCGUGAGACAGUUCGGUCCCUAUCUGCCGUGGGCGCUGGAGAAUUGAGGGGGGCUGCUCCUAGUACGAGAGGACCGGAGUGGACGCAUCACUGGUGUUCGGGUUGUCAUGCCAAUGGCACUGCCCGGUAGCUAAAUGCGGAAGAGAUAAGUGCUGAAAGCAUCUAAGCACGAAACUUGCCCCGAGAUGAGUUCUCCCUGAGACCUUGAGUCUCCUGAAGGAACGUUGAAGACGACGACGUUGAUAGGUCGGGUGUGUAAGCGCAGCGAUGCGUUGAGCUAACCGAUACUAAUGAACCGUGAGGCUUAACCUUACAACGCCGAAGCUGUU